UGCAGCAGGGAGGCUGAGCAACAGAAAGGAGUGGGCGAGAUGGAAAAAUAAAGAGAGAAUAAUAAAAGCCAACACAGAGGGGGAGAGCAGAGGAGUCUGUCACUUUGUCUUAGGAGAAAUUAAGAAGCCAGACAAAUUAUAAGUGUACUUUCAUUUGGAAACAUGAUCAGACAGUCUGAGAUGGGUGCUCCUGGAUGAGGUGAUCAUGGCUUGUAGGGACCUGUGAGUGGCUCGCUCUGACCUGGCAUGGGAAGGGCCAGGACUUGCCAACGUUUGCAGGUGGCAAUGAAGUGCAAGACUGAGGGAAUGCAAGGGGGCUCAUUGGAUCUCUUUGAUUCUUCUGUUCAGAAAGAAAAGAGUGGAAGAAGAUGGCUAACAUUCUUAAGGGCCCAGGGCCAAUGUGGGUGUUCCCAUUGAAUUCUCACCAGGGCCCUAUGCAGUAGGUGCUGGUUUUAUCCCUCUAGUUCAGAUGAGAAAACUGAGGCCAGGAGCUUGUUCAAGAUCACAUGAGCAGCAAGGACUCUUGUUUCUGACCUCUCUGCCACCUGCCUGCCCAGGCUGCCUGCUGAAGCCACUGCAUCACCGUGAAUGUGCAUCUCCCACGAGGGCUGGUGUGUGGUUAACAGCCACAGGGAGGCGUUUUCAGGGCCCAUCUGGGGUUGGAAGACAUUGCUUUCCUUUGUCCUGACACCAAAAAGGAAACCGGCAUGGCCACUCUGAACAUUUUGUCUUCUUUGGCAUUUGGUUGCCUUUUUUCCCUCCUCCAUUGGCAAUGGAUCUAUCAGGUUCUCAGUCAAAAUGCCGCAUUGCCCAAGCACAAAUGUGACCCUCGGUGUGUCGUGGGAACACAUUGCACAGAGAACUCCACCACACUCAAACGCUGGCAGUGCCUUGCCAGCCCUGGUGGACUUGAAGUUUUGAUGAGCUUUAAGUUCGUGGAGCAGCUUAGCUCUGGGAUCGUGGAGCUGGGAAAGGCUGAGACCCGGAUGACACGAAGGCCCGUCCAUGUGCAGGCCAGGAAGGGUGCUCCAUGCAGAAGCACAGCAGGUGCAAAGGCCCUGAACUGGAGAUGAGGGUGGCUCAAGGAUGCGAUCAAGUUCAACUCACAAAGGGGAAGCCGAUUGUGAAGUUCAAAGGAGAUCCUUAUAGCUUCCAAGGCUGGACCACGGUCUGAGACAGAGGAGAGAAUCAGCAGACGGAACAGGUCAAUAAAGCAAUGCACUGGAAUGUUCAGGA